CACCUCACACACACACACACACACACACAGUCACAGAGCAGACACACACACACACUGAUGAAGAACUGACCAACAUCUGAAACAGGAAGGACAGCAGACCUCCAGGAACAAACUCUGCAGAGAAAAGUUUUACAGUCUAUCCAGUAAAACACACCAAAACAGCAAGACGCUUCCUGUUCCUUUAUUGGAGACUGUUCACUAUCUGUAAAGCUAGUUCACACACACUAGUACAGGCAGAAUAGUAAAAAGACAUGAUGGAAGACCAACCAAAAGUCGAAAAAGAUGACAACACUGCUGUCCCUGACCACCAAAGUACAGUCAGCAAUGCUGGUGACCUGUGGGAAACAAGAUCGAACUGUUCCAACAGCUCACGUGCCAGUCAGCGGUCCUGUGCCAGUCAACGGUCCAAUGCAAGCGUUUUGGCUGCAAAAGCACGUGCUAAAGCAGCAGCCGCACAAGUGCAAGUAUCAUACGCUGAAAGAGAAGCAGAGGUGAUAAAGGAACAAGCCCACAUUGAAGCUGAAGCUACAAAAAAGAAAGCAGAGCUCAGCGCUGACCUCCUCAAACUGCAUCUACAAAGUGCAGCUGCAGCCGCCAACGCCGAAGCAGAGGUCCUAGAGGCAGCAGCCGAGGAUGAAGGUGGAGAUACCUGGUUUCCAACAAAUAGCAACAACGUCGUCCAGAACAGCUCAUCAUCUCGUGACGUGGAGAUGGAUCAGGACACGGUGAAGGAACAACAUGAGAUCCAGACUGAAGAUCAGAGGACCAGGAAGCAGCUCACACCUGGACCUGGACCUGGACCCAGCUGUGUGUCCUGUAGAAGUGACCAGUCCAUGGACAAACCCAUUAACUUCAAAGGAGGUCCAUCUACUGACCCACAGUGAGUCCACAUAAAGAAGGUUGCUGGUUGUCUUCCUGAUGGUCCAGGGGCCUCAUUUAUUGAUCCGUUCAUAGAACUGGUUCUAAAUACGUUCAGACCAAUGAAAUGUAGAAUGUGCACCAGUACAAAAAGAAUCAGUAUUUAUGAAGCGUGUGGACAGAGGUCGUACACACAGCAGUGUUGAUUCAUCUCUCAGUCCAUGUGGACUAAAGUGUCAAUCACUUUUCUUUGUUUUCACACUAAAUACACUCACCAACUAUUUCCUCAGUCACUAGUUAUUAUUAUUAUUAAUUAUACAUUAUUAUAAUUAGUUCACCACCUGAUAAACACUAAACUUUUACAGAACAUUUUUCAAACACUAACACACUUUAGGACCAAUGCUUGUU
rnacentral:lncRNA from 1 species